rnacentral:rRNA from 1 species
GACGAACGCUGGCGGCGUGCUUAACACAUGCAAGUCGUACGGUAAGGCCCUUUCGGGGGUACACGAGUGGCGAACGGGGGAGUAACACGUGAGUAACCUGCCCACAACUUUGGGAUAACGCUAGGAAACUGGGGCUAAUACUGGAUAUGUGCUCCUGCUGCAUGGGGGGGGUUGGAAAGCUCCGGCGGGUGUGGAUGGACUCGCGGCCUAUCAGCUUGUUGGUGGGGUAGUGGCCUACCAAGGCGGCGGCGGGUAGCCGGCCUGAGAGGGUGACAGGCCACAUUGGGCCUGAGGGACGGCCCAGACGCCUACUGGAGGAAGCAGUGGGGAAUCUUGACCAAUGGGCGCCAGCCGGAUGCAGCAGCGCCGCGUGCGGGAUGACGGCCUUCGGGUUGUAAACCGCUUUCAGCAGGGACGAAGCUUUUUGUGACGGUACCUGCAGAAGAAGCACCGGCUAACUACGUG